GUCUAUUUGAAGAUAUAAAAAGUCUGACCUGCCCACUGAUAAAUAAUUUUUAAUGGCCGCAGUAUUUUGACUGUGCAAAGGUAGCAUAAUCGUUAGUUUUUUAAUUGAAAUCUUGUAUGAAUGGUUUGACAAAAAAAAAUCUGUCUUUAUGAUUAUUUAUUGAAUUUAACUUUUAAGUGAAAAGGCUUAAAUAAAUUAAAAAGACGAUAAGACCCUAUAAAACUUAAUAUUAAUUUUUUAUUUUAAUAAAAUUUUUAGUAAUAUAAAUAUUUAGUAAUUAGUUUUAUUUUAUUGGGGUGAUAAUGGUAAAAUGAUUAUUAACUGUUAAUUGUAUUUAUAACAAAUAUAAGUGAAUAAAAUAAGUAUAUUGAUUUAUAAAUGGUCCUAUAUAAAGAUUAAAAGUUUAAGUUACUUUAGGGAUAACAGCGUCAUUUUUUUUGAGAGUUCUUAUCGAAAAAAAAGUUUGCGACCUCGAUGUUGAAUUAAAAUAUCUGUAUAAUUGUAGCAGUUAUAUAAGAAGGUCUGUUCGACCUUUAAAUUUUUACAUGAUUUGAGUUCAAACCGGUGUAAGCCAGGUUGGUUUCUAUC
rnacentral:rRNA from 1 species